UACGAAGGGGGCGAGCGUUGUUCGGAUUUACUGGGCGUAAAGCGUGCGCAGGCGGUGAUGUAAGACAGAUGUGAAAUCCCCGGGCUCAACCUGGGAACUGCAUUUGUGACUGCAUCGCUGGAGUGCGGCAGAGGGGGAUGGAAUUCCGCGUGUAGCAGUGAAAUGCGUAGAUAUGCGGAGGAACACCGAUGGCGAAGGCAAUCCCCUGGGCCUGCACUGACGCUCAUGCACGAAAGCGUGGGGAGCAAACAGG
rnacentral:rRNA from 1 species